AUUGAACGCUGGCGGCAGGCCUAACACAUGCAAGUCGAACGAGUGGCGGACGGGUGAGUAAUGUCUGGGAAACUGCCUGAUGGAGGGGGCUAACUACUGGAAACGGUAGCUAAUACCGCAUACCAUCGGAUGUGCCCAGAUGGGAUUAGCUAGUAGGUGGGGUAACGGCUCACCUAGGCGACGAUCCCUAGCUGGUCUGCGAGGAUGAACAGCCAACCUGGAACUGAGCCACGGUCCAGACUCCUACGGGAGGCAGCAGUGGGGAAUAUUGCACAAUGGGCGCAAGCCUGAUGCAGCCAUGCCGCGUGUAUGAAGAAGGCCUUCGGGUUGUAAAGUACUUUCAGCGGGGAGGCGUUACCCGCAGAAGAAGCACCGGCUAACUCCGUGCCAGCCGCCGCGGUAAUAC
rnacentral:rRNA from 1 species